ACUUUGAUUAUGGCUCGGGACGAACGCUGGCGGCGCGCCUAACACAUGCAAGUCGAGCGGGAAGCUUUUUAAGGAUUCUUCGGAUGAAUUAAAAAGUGGAGAGCGGCGGACGGGUGAGUAACGCGUGAGAAACCUGCCCUAUACAGGGGGAUAGCCAUUGGAAACGAUGAUUAAUACCCCAUAUGACCACAGUAUCGCAUGAUACAGCGGUGAAAACUCCGGUGGUAUAGGAUGGUCUCGCGUCUGAUUAGCUAGUUGGUGGGGUAACGGCCUACCAAGGCGACGAUCAGUAGCCGGCCUGAGAGGGUGACCGGCCACACUGGAACUGAGACACGGUCCAGACUCCUACGGGAGGCAGCAGUGGGGAAUAUUGCACAAUGGGCGAAAGCCUGAUGCAGCGACGCCGCGUGAACGAUGAAAGCUUUCGAGUCGUAAAGUUCUGUUCUUGGGGAAGAUAACGACGGUAUCCAAGGAGAAAGCACCGGCUAAAUACGUGCCAGCAGCCGCGGUA
rnacentral:rRNA from 1 species